rnacentral:rRNA from 1 species
GAUGAACGCUGGCGGCGUGCCUAAUACAUGCAAGUCGAGCGAACGGACGAGAAGCUUGCUUCUCUGAUGUUAGCGGCGGACGGGUGAGUAACACGUGGAUAACCUACCUAUAAGACUGGGAUAACUUCGGGAAACCGGAGCUAAUACCGGAUAAUAUUAUGAACCGCAUGGUUCAAAAGUGAAAGACGGUCUUGCUGUCACUUAUAGAUGGAUCCGCGCUGCAUUAGCUAGUUGGUAAGGAAACGGCUUACCAAGGCAACGAUGCAUAGCCGACCUGAGAGGGUGAUCGGCCACACUGGAACUGAGACACGGUCCAGACUCCUACGGGAGGCAGCAGUAGGGAGUCUUCCGCAAUGGGCGAAAGCCUGACGGAGCAACGCCGCGUGAGUGAUGAAGGUCUUCGGAUCGUAAAACUCUGUUAUUAGGGAAGAACAUAUGUGUAAGUAACUGUGCACAUCUUGACGGUACCUAAUCAGAAAGCCACGGCUAACUACGUG